GGGGGAAAAUUAAUAAAAUAUAAAUAAUAAAAAAAUUUUUAAUAUUGGGGGGUAUUAAAGUAUUUUUUUAAAAAAAAAUAAAUUAUUUUAUAGUUGAAUAGUAUUGUUAAAGAAAUUUGAAAUAAAUGAAAAUAAAUUAAUAAAAAAGUAAUUUUUAUUUAAUGUAUCUUGUGUAUCAGAGUUUAUUAAAGAAUAUUUUUUUUAUAAAGAAAUCUCGAAUUUAAAAGAGUUAAUUAAUUAUAAAAGUUAAUGUAGAAAAAUUAUUUUAAAUAAUUAAUUUGAAAUGAAAUGUUAAUCGUUUUUGAAUAUAUCUAGUUAUUUUAGAAAAAAAUUUAAUUUUAAAUUUAAAAAAUUUUAUUUUUAAUUAUAAUUAAAAAUAAAAUUUUUAAAUUAAAUAUAUUAAGGGAUAAGCUUUAAUAUAAAUAUUUAUAAUAAAAUAAAGUUUAAAUAAAAAUUUUAAAAUUUAUAUUGUUUAAAAAUUAUAAUUUAUUAUAAAAAAUUUUAUUUAAAAUAAAAUUUAAUUAAAAAAUUUAAUUUUAUAUAAAAUAAUAAUAAAAAUAAAAAUAAAUUAGAAAUAAUGAUAAAAUUAGUAUAUUAUAAUAAAAUAUAAUUUAAUUAAUUUAAAUUAAAUUAAAGGAAUUCGGCAAAAUUUUGUAUUCACUUGUUUAUCAAAAACAUGUCUUUUAGAUAAUAAUUUAAAGUCUAAUCUGCCCACUGAUAAAUAUAUUAAAGGGCUGCAGUAUAUUGACUGUACAAAGGUAGCAUAAUCAAUAGUCUUUUAAUUGAAGACUUGUAUGAAAGAUUUAAUGAAAUAUAAACUGUCUCUAAUUUAUAUAUAAGUAGAAUUUAAUUUUUUAGUUAAAAAGCUAAAAUAAAUUUAAAAGACGAGAAGACCCUAUAGAGUUUUAUAUUAAAAUUAUUUAAGGUUAUAUAUAUAAUUAAAAAUUUAAAAAUAAAAUUAAUAUUUUAUUGGGGUGAUAAAAAAAUUAAUUUAACUUUUUUUUUAUUAAAACAUAAAUAAGUGAAUAUUUGAUCCAUUUAUUAUGAUUAAAAGAAAGAAUUACCUUAGGGAUAACAGCGUAAUAUUUUUUUUUAGUACAAAUAAAAAAAAGAGAUUGCGACCUCGAUGUUGGAUUAAGAUAAAAUUUAAAUGCAAAAGUUUAAAAUUUUGAUCUGUUCGAUCAUUAAAAUCUUACAUGAUCUGAGUUCAAACCGGUGUGAGCCAGGUUGGUUUCUAUCUUUAGAAUAAUAAAAUAUUUUAGUACGAAAGGAUCAAGUAUUUUUAAUAAUUAAAAUUUAAUGAAUAUUAAUAAUAAUAAUAU
rnacentral:rRNA from 1 species